CCCGAAACAGACUCUCGUCCACUCCCCCUCGUGACGCUCUGUGACGUCACGUAUUUUGUGUAUGACGCGUCGACGCCCAACAGAGCUCCGCUUUAAUCACCGGUCGCAUCUUCAAUACUGCUUCAGCAGUUUAAUUUUAUCCCAACCUUCGCGAUCAAUGUAUUGUGUGUGUUAUAUUUUUUAAACUCUCCGAAGAGCCAUCCAAAAUUAUUAUACUCGGAGUACUCUCUCUUGUGAAUAUCUGAAUACAUGUUUACCCAAAUGUGCCGUGAAAUACCUGAAAUAAAUCUCACAAUGGUGUCCGGACAGUAUCAUCGUCAUCGUCCAUUAAAUCACGUGAUCAUGAUUGUGCCCAACGUCCGUUUCAUUUCCCGCCAGUGCGCGCUUCUUCUUCUUCAUUAUAAAAAAAACUCCUCCGCGACGUCCUCGUCCUCUUCUUCUUCACUUAUCUCCGUCUCCGCUUGUCCGCCUCCACCUCCACGACAUCAGACAUGUACAUGCGCUGCGACCCCGGCACGUGUCCCCGUUUCUCCCGCUGGGUGUCGGAGUGCAGGCGGCCCAGAAAGAGACGGGCAGCGUCUUGGAGUGAGCAGGGAAAACGAGCCAGGACUGAGACAGAGUAUAAUCCAGAAGUUUGCUACGUCGUACAGUUCUGGUUCUCUAAAAUUGAGCAUCGAGGUGUCGACAAGGUUUUGUGCAAAGGUGCCAGCUCCAAAGCAGUCGACGAGUGUGUGGUGGUCGUGUGUGAGGAAGGUGUUCCUUGCGCUCUACGGGAGCCGAAUGGAUAGCGGAACCUUUGGGGGUUAACAACGGAGCUGAGAAGUUUGAGGAUCAAGAAGCUAGUCAUGGCGACAUUGAAAUGGAACGGUCAGAAAGUCCCAAAAUACAGGGUGAAAGGGAUUCCAUGUUCCACCAGUUGUGCUAUGCACAUCGGAAUGGUUUUGGGGAUACCGCCGAGGAGAUGCCACAGCAUUGUUCAAAUGUUUAAAUGUGAAUCUGAGUGCUUGUAAACUCCAAGUUCAUCCCUUACAUGCUUUUAGCAAAGGGUGUGGAAUGGAGCAGAGUUCAUCUUUCAAACCCAAAACAUUUCGACCUACUUUCCCACUGCAUUUCUGCAGAGCUUUUGACCUUCCUAAUUUUGUAUAUUUUCUUUUUGAUAUGGGCACAGAUUUGUACGAAUAAUCCGAAUAAACUAUUUUUGUUCACAAUCUGAAUCUGUUUCUUUCUUAUGGAUGACCCAUGGUAAUUUCAGUUUAAUAAUAAAUUUUAUUUAUACUACAGGGUGCCCCACAGAAAACCAAGAAAUUUGAGAUUGAGAUUUAUUUUGCCAUAUUUUGCACUACAUCUAACGUUUGUUUUUGUUUUGUUUGAAAAUAAAGUGUAUCUUUGUUUUACACUACAUCUAAGUUUGCUUUUGUUUUGUUUUAAAUAAACUGUACCAAAUUUCCUGGUUUUCUGUGGGGCACCCUGUAUAUAGCACUUUUCAAAUGCAAAGAAAUCUCAAAGUGCUGAACAAGGGAAAAAUCAGUUUGUCAAGUAAAAAAGAAAGAGAAAAUAGAAAUGUGGUAAGAAUCAAAGUAGAGUCAAAUUACAUUUAAAAAAAACACAAAUAUUCAUGAAAAAAAAAUUCAAUUGCAUAAAAUACAAAUAACAAUAGAAAAGUCAAAUUACAUAGAAUAGAAAUAACAAUGAAUGGAUGGGACAAAUUGCGUAGAAUAGAAAUAAUAACAUCCUUGACCAAUCCUUUUUGCAAAGCAGGUUACUCAAAAGCAAGGGAAUAAAAGUGUGUUUAAGGCUGCAUUUAAAAACUAAUAAAACCAGAUGCCUUCAGGUGAUGGAAAUUGCCUUGAGCCAAUGGAGUGAAAGCUGCUGGUCAGCAUGCUUGGGAGUUACAGCCAGAGGAUAGACUAGUGGAUAAAUCACAGGAUAGAUAGAUAUACCCACAAUAGACUAGUGGGUAGUUCACCAUAUUAUACGGUACUCCCAUGGGUACCCGGUGUUGCCGGGCAAUGCAGAGUCCCUCCUUCCACCCUUCCCCUCCGGACUCCCACCCCACCCCUUCCUCCUCCCACCAACACCCUUUCCCCCCUCCUCCCGCAAAGGAAUUUUCACAGGGUAUGUAACCACAUUUGGGAAAAAUAAAUAAUUAAAAUAAAACCCGCUUUAGAUUCCUCUAGCAACCUCUAAGUUGCCACGUAUUGUGUCGAAAUCUGUCCCCCUGAGGGACAAAUUCAUCGAUAUGGCCGAAAUAAGUAAUGGUAUGUAUAUACUGAAUGUAUGCAUGUAUAUAUAUAUAUAUAUAUGUUUAUCUCCGUCGCCAUGUAAUGAAUCUGGGGUGUAUUCAGUCACGAAGUUUCUUUUUAGAGCACUCGCCAAGUUGCUUAAGCACUGAAGCAAGCAGUUCAUUCAAAAUUGUUGAUAAGGAAUGGCUGGCUUGGCAAGUGCUAGAUAGCUACUUGAGAACUGAACACAUCCCUGGAUAUUUUUACAGCAUACAGUUGGCCUACAUACCAAAUGCUGACAAAGUUUUUUUUUUUAAUUAAAGACUUCAAAUAUGAAUCAUGGCUAUUUUCAUUGUAAUGAAAAUGUACCUUGUUCAGUUUUCAACACGUUGUUUUACUUUUUAAAAUGUACAUAAACUCAGAGGUGAUGCUGAGUGUACGAAAGUGGACGUGUACAUCUUAUCUAUAUAUUACGAAAACUCUCAUCUUGUAUGUAUGUAUGUUCCCAAAAUACAGCCAAAACAGUAUACGAAAGCGCAAACAUUUUUGGCCCGCCUUACUCCCAUUCUCCUGCGGUGCACAGUAUCAAGUUUCGUUAAAAUCAGGCAACAAAAAAAUUAUUUAAAAAAUCUAUUCCCAAUUCAGUCAAGUACUCUUCGGGAGAAUUUGAUUAAUGCAAACAACCUCAGCGGUAUAGUUCGCUGGAGCUCUCUUUUUUUUCUCUUUAAAUGAUUUAUUUAAAAAUCUCAAACAUUUAGUAUGGACAAAGAACAAUUUAUUUUUAAGCAUAAAAUAAACCGCCAUUUUGAUCUAAUACUUCCGUGUUCAUUAAUAAAUAAAAUUGUGUUUAGAAGAUUACGCACAAUAAUUUCUUCGACUUUCUUUUCUCCGUUUU
ensembl:lincRNA